AACGAACGCUGGCGGCAUGCCUAACACAUGCAAGUCGAACGAGACCUUCGGGUCUAGUGGCGCACGGGUGCGUAACGCGUGGGAACCUGCCCUUAGGUUCGGAAUAACUCAGAGAAAUUUGAGCUAAUACCGGAUAAUGUCUUCGGACCAAAGAUUUAUCGCCUUUGGAUGGGCCCGCGUAGGAUUAGCUUGUUGGUGGGGUAAUGGCCUACCAAGGCGACGAUCCUUGGCUGGUCUGAGAGGAUGAUCAGCCACACUGGGACUGAGACACGGCCCAGACUCCUACGGGAGGCAGCAGUGGGGAAUAUUGGACAAUGGGCGAAAGCCUGAUCCAGCAAUGCCGCGUGAGUGAUGAAGGCCUUAGGGUUGUAAAGCUCUUUUACCAGGGAUGAUAAUGACAGUACCUGGAGAAUAAGCUCCGGCUAACUCCGUG
rnacentral:rRNA from 1 species